UAUACAAAACACCUGAAGGGUUGGGCUGCC
rnacentral:piRNA from 1 species